rnacentral:rRNA from 1 species
UACGUAGGGGGCAAGCGUUGUCCGGAUUUAUUGGGCGUAAAGAGCGUGUAGGCGGUUUGGUAGGUCCGUUGUGAAAACUCGAGGCUCAACCUCGAGACGCCGAUGGAAACCAUCAGACUAGAGUCCGGAAGAGGAGAGUGGAAUUCCUGGUGUAGCGGUGAAAUGCGCAGAUAUCUGGAGGAAUACCGGUGGCGAAGGCGGCAUCCUGGACCGACAUUGACGCUGAACGGCGAAAGCUAGGGGAGCAAACGGG